rnacentral:rRNA from 1 species
UACGGAGGGGGUUAGCGUUGUUCGGAAUUACUGGGCGUAAAGCGCGCGUAGGCGGGCAUUUAAGUCGGGGGUGAAAUCCCGGGGCUCAACCCCGGAAUGGCCUUCGAUACUGGGUGCCUAGAGUUCGAGAGAGGUGAGUGGAAUUCCGAGUGUAGAGGUGAAAUUCGUAGAUAUUCGGAGGAACACCAGUGGCGAAGGCGGCUCACUGGCUCGACACUGACGCUGAGGUGCGAAAGCGUGGGGAGCAAACAGG